CUCCAGACUCCUACGGGAGGCAGCAGUGAGGAAUAUUGGUCAAUGGCCGCAGGGCUGAACCAGCCAAGUCGCGUGAGGGAUGACGGUCCUAUGGAUUGUAAACCUCUUUUGUCAGGGAGCAAAGGGCGCCACGUGUGGCGUUUUGCGAGUACCUGAAGAAAAAGCAUCGGCUAACUCCGUGCCAGCAGCCGCGGUAAUACGGAGGAUGCGAGCGUUAUCCGGAUUUAUUGGGUUUAAAGGGUGCGCAGGCGGAAUGUCAAGUCAGCGGUAAAAUUUCGGGGCUCAACCCCGUCGUGCCGUUGAAACUGGCGUUCUUGAGUGAGCGGGAAGUAUGCGGAAUGCGUGGUGUAGCGGUGAAAUGCAUAGAUAUCGAGAGGAACACUCGUGGCGAAGGCGGGUUCCUGGACAUUAACUGACGCUGAGGCACGAAGGCCAGGGGAGCGAAAGGGAUUAGAUACCCCAGUA
rnacentral:rRNA from 1 species